rnacentral:rRNA from 1 species
CCUACGGGAGGCAGCAGUGGGGGAUAUUGCACAAUGGGGGAAACCCUGAUGCAGCGACGCCGCGUGUGUGAGGAAGUAUUUCGGUAUGUAAAGCUCUGUCAGCAGGGAAGAAAAUGACGGUAACUGACUAAGAAGCCCCGGCUAACUACGUGCCAGCAGCCGCGGUAAUACGUAGGGAGCAAGCGUUGUCCGGAUUUACUGGGUGUAAAGGGAGCGUAGACGGCUAAUCAAGUCAGAAGUGAAAACCAAGGGCUCAACCUUGGGACUGCGUUUGAAACUGAGUAGCUAGAGUGCAGGAGAGGUAAGCGGAAUUCCCGGUGUAGCGGUGAAAUGCGUAGAGAUUAGGAGGAACACCAGUGGCGAAGGCGGCUUACUGGACUGUAACUGACGUUGAGGCUCGAAAGCGUGGGUAGCAAACAGGAUUAGAUACCCCAGUAGUC